GACGAACCGUGCGAACGUUGUUCGGAAUCACUGGCUUAAAGGGCGCGUAGGCGGGUUCGCAAGUCUGUGGUGAAAGCCUCCAGCUUAACUGGAGAAGUGCCAUGGAUACUGCGCAUCUUGAGGAGGGUAGGGGCGUCUGGAACGGUCGGUGGAGCGGUGAAAUGCGUUGAUAUCGACCGGAACUCCGGUGGCGAAGGCGAGGCGCUGGACCCUUUCUGACGCUGAGGCGCGAAAGCCAGGG
rnacentral:rRNA from 1 species